UACGUAGGGGGCGAGCGUUGUCCGGAGUUACUGGGCGUAAAGCGCACGCAGGCGGUCUGCUAAGUUUGGAGUGACAGUUGGUGGCUUAACUGCCAAAGUGCUUCGAAAACUGAGAGACUUGAGGGCUUCAGAGGGACACGGAAUUCCGGGUGGAGUGGUGAAAUGCGUAGAGAUCCGGAGGAACACCAAAGGCGAAGGCAGUGUCCUGGGGAGUACCUGACGCUCAGGUGCGAAAGCCAGGGGAGCGAACGGG
rnacentral:rRNA from 1 species